rnacentral:hammerhead_ribozyme from 1 species
AUCCAACUGAUGAGUCCCAACUAGGCCAAAACGCGUGUCCAGGAU